rnacentral:tRNA from 1 species
GUUUAAAUAGCUUAAUUUAAAGCGAGGCUUUGAAGAGGCCUAGAUGAUUUCUGUCUUUAGACA